UCUGCUGAUUACCAUGACCGUGACAUGGCUUUGAAAAGCACAUCUCAUCGCUGCCUGGUGACUCCUUUCAGAGGCUCCCCCAGGGCAGGUUGUUUUGCAACCAGACAAUGAAAUCCAAAUUUACUAGGUACUUUAUUUUGGAGGUUGAGAGGGAAACAAAAAUUCUUCAAUUAAUUGUUCAUCCUAAACCAGACCAUUCUUGCUCAUGCACUAGAUAGAGGGAUAGUGCCAACCCACAUAGACUUAGAAGAGAGCAAGCUGGAGGGCCAGUCUUAACGUCCUUCACCUCCUCCGUUCCUGAGUGUGUCUCCCACUGGCUGUACUCAGUAGAAGCCAGAAAGCCAGGGGGCCCACUGAUGUCAUCAAUUCAGGGAUUUCAAGACACAUUUGAUAUCUUACAGAGCUGAUAGCUGCCGUGCAUAGGGGAAAUAAAUGAGAGGAAUAUGUCUGCAUAGUGGGGGUGCAGCUAGCCUUGGGUAGUGAUUCAUUUAAUAUUCUUUUGGCUGCAAGUAACAGAAUAUCCAAAUAAAAUUGGUGCUAUGAAAAAAAAA
rnacentral:lncRNA from 10 species